rnacentral:lncRNA from 1 species
GACCAUAGCUAUAGUGGAGGCUGUUUCACCUGAGUUGGGAAAUCGGGUUCAACGAGUUCGGGUUCAAUUGCCAGGACUUAGCCAGGAGCUUCUUCAGAAGUUCAGGGAAAAGAACAUUGACUUUGCAGCCCAUAAUGCUCAAGAAGAUUCUGGUUCUUUGUUAUUCAACUUGAUUGGGAAUCUGGCGUUCCCGUUGAUCUUGAUUGGAGGACUAUUCCUUCUCUCAAGACGAUCAUCUGGAGGAAUGGGUGGUCCAGGUGGACCUGGCUUCCCACUUGCAUUUGGUCAAUCAAAGGCAAAAUUCCAAAUGGAACCAAUCACAGGUGUGACAUUUGACGAUGUUGCUGGAGUUGAUGAAGCCAAGCAGGAUUUCAU